rnacentral:misc_RNA from 1 species
UUAAGUUCAGCGGGUAUUCCUACCUGAUCCGAGGUCAACCUUUGAAAUAUAGGGGGUUUUUACGGCUGGCACCCGCCACACGCCCUGAGCGAAGAGUAAACUACUGCACUCGGUGUGAUAGCGAGCCCGCCACUGUAUUUGGGAGGCUGCGGCGGCCGCAGGGCUCCAACGCAAGCCUGGGGCUUGAUGGUUGAAAUGAC